CGCGUAGGUGGUAGUGCAAGUCUGGGGUGGAAUCUUAGGGCUUAACCCUAAAACUGCCUUGGAAACUGCAUUACUUGAGUCAGUGAGGGGAGGGUAGAAUUCCUGGUGUAGCGGUGAAAUGCGUAGAUAUCAGGAAGAAGGCCUGUGGCGAAGGCGGCCCUCUGGCGCUGAACUGACACUGAGGCGCGAAAGCGUGGGUAGCAAACAGGAUUAGAUACCCUGGUAGUCCACGCCCUAAACGGUGGGUACUAGGUGUAGGGCUCGUAAGGGUUCUGUGCCGAAGGGAAACCAUUAAGUACCCCGCCUGGGGAGUACGGCCGCAAGGUUGAA
rnacentral:rRNA from 1 species